UAGCAAGUCAUUCUUUCCUUUUUCUUAAAUGUCUAGGAAAGAGAUUAAGAAGUUGAGAUUUAGUUUCUCGUCCUUCUCUCUUUUUAAAAUGUUGAGGGACUCUCUCUCUCUACUUCUCUCCCGCUUAUUUUUCUAGAAACAAUCAGAGCCUAAGUGACCUCUCUCUCUCUCUCUCUCUCACACACACACUUCCUAGUUUCCACAUAUGCAAUUAGUUUAAACUUUAACCCAUUUCACAUUCAUCUUCUUCGCUAGCUCAAAAGCUUUGAUAAUGGUUUUUUCUUCGGCAACACUGGGGUUGGAGUACCCUCGUUGUCUUUGGGUAUUUGUUUCUUCCCUGAUUUUUCCUUUCUGCAUGUUGGUUUUAAGGUGGAAUUCAUCAUUAUCUUGAAGGGUGUUUCUGUUAGCGUGAUUAUCAUUCUUCCCCAUGUUCUUCUUAUUCUUGGUUGCUGAUAUUUCUCAUUUAUGCCAAGUGCUACCUUUGUUGAAGAGAUUGAGAAAAUUCUUCGUGCAUUAGGAAGAAAGCUCAUUUAGGAAAGCAAAAAGAAAGAGAGGAAUCUAUUCACCAAGCAUCUGGCCAUGAAAUAAAAGAAAAAGAAGAACUUGAGUCAGAUGACCAAAUAGUAGAGGAACCAGUAGAAAUACUCUUAUGAGACUAUGGAACUCCCAAUGCAAAUGGUAAUAGGUUGACCAUCGUUAAUCAUCUUAUAACAUUUGCAAAAUUUUAAUUCAAUUUUUCGUUUCCUUGAGAGUUGAAGCAGACGUUUCCUUGAGAGUUGAAGCAGAAACACCUCGUCGGUAGGACGAACGAAGAUGCCAACAAGCAUCUGAAGUAUUUUCUCAAAAACUCAAAAAAUGUUAAAUUAGAUGGACAUGCUGAAGAAGGAAAGAGAUUGAUAUUUUUCUCGUUCACCUCAACUAAAUUAGAUGUUGAAGAGUAGUUCGAUCAGCUUCCAUCAUGGAUCAUUUAUUCACGGGCAACUAUGGAAACAACACUUUUGAAAAAGCAUUUUCUGGCAUCUUUGUUCAUUUGAAAGAGGUACAAAAUCACCACUUUCAGAUAAAAAGAAGGAAACUCUUUAGGUGAGUCCUAUAAGAAAUUCAAUAAGAUUUUAGUAGCAUGUCCAACUCACAACGUUGAUGCAAUAGAUCAAAUUCAAAUAUUUUACAAUAGUAUCAAAUUGAAGACGAAGCAACUACUAGAUACAACAUUUGGGGGCUCAUUAAAAUUUACACCAUUCACUGAAAUUCCAAAUAUCAUUAAAGUUAUCGCGUCAAAUGAACUCUUACAAUCAUAUGACAAGUGUACCACUACUAAGGAAGGAGUAAUAGAUCUAAAACUAGGUAAUGACCAAAAAAAAUUGAAGAGUGUGUAAUAGCUGAAGUGGAGAAAAGGUUGAAGACGUUGAAUCUCUUAAAGUCGCAAGUUGCUUAGGUACAACAAAAGAGCAUCGUCAGUUGUGAAUGGUGCGGAGGAGCUCAUUUCACUAUGCAUUGUAAGGCCCAUCUUGCUCUUCAGUGAUACAUAGAUGGAAGAAGUGAAUUUUCUUAAACAUAACAACCCCUACUUAAAUACAUAUAAUCCAUGAUGAAAAAACCAUUCAAAUUUUUCUCGGAAGGAUCAGCAAGGGGCGCACUAAGACAAUUCACAAUGUCAUAUCAGGCAUCUUAAGAAAAUUGUACAAAUAUAUUCAAACUCUGAUUAAUAUUUUCGAAGAAUGUUUCUCUAGUAAUCGUGUUAUAAUUGAUUUGUCUUUAAAAAUUCGAGGAUGAACAUCUUUUAUUCAUGAACAGAAAAAUAUUGAGAAACUUGAACCACAUACUAUAAAUAAAAAGUAUUUUGUUGGAUAUUCUCCAACACAAAAUGGACAUUAAUGUUUUGAUCCAAAGAACAAAAAUAUGUUUGUAACUAUGGAUGUAACAUUAUUUGAAAACAAACUUUUUUUUUAAUGAUACUCAUCUUUAAGGGGGGUUAAGGAAGAAGAAGACCCGUUUAAUACUGACAUGAAUUUUUUUUAAUUCAACUUUUUCAAUAUUACAAAAUUUUCAGAUUUACACUUUGGCACCAACAACAAAUGGUCAUGAAUCCCCUACUGAACCUACUUGUGGUAUGAGUGAGGAACUUGGUGAAUAUGAUCUUAUAUUUUCUCAUGAAAACAAUAAUGAGAAUAUUAAAGAUAAUGAUAAUGAUAAAACACUUGUAGAAAAUAGAUUUGUAGCGAGAAAUAAGAUUUGAAAAGAGAAGAUUUGAAAAGAGAAGAUUCUUGAGAGAAAAAUUAUAAGGAAGGUGUUACAUUCAAGGCUUAACUCAUCACACAUUGUUCAUAAAGCACAUUCAGACAGAUUUUCGAUUUAUAAAAAAACUAGACGUCGAUCUCAUAUAUCUAUCAUUUAUAACUUCAAGUCAACAAAUUGCAGACACCCUUAUCAAAAAUUUGACUAGACCCACAUUUGAAUAGUUCGUAGACAAGUUGAGCAUGAUAAAUAUCUAUACACCAACUUGAAGGAAUGUAAAACAACCGUAUAAUUUUCAUAUUUAUUCAAUUUUUACAUUUAAUCAUUUUUAUUCUAAUAAUACUCCACUAGAAUUUUCUUCUUCUAGAAUAUAUAUUUUUUGAUAUAAAGUUGUAAUCUCUCUAUUUAUUUAAAUAAGCUAUGGGUAUAAAAUCCACAUAAUUAAGGCAUUAUUACUUCACUCUAAUUCUAAUAGGAUGUGACUCAUUUGUCCUAGAGUAAAGUGCAUCAAAACACAAAGACAAACUAAUUUGACACAUAGUCACCAUUGUCAACAACUCCCAUCUCAAUCCUCAUGCUCUUUGAGAAGCCAUUUGAAUAUUAUUCUAAAAUUGUGACCAAGUAGUCAUAGCCAUUUACAUAAAGCAAAGUUUAUUUUAACCUUUAUUUGUCACAUCUCCACCAAAGAAAUUAAAAAAACCCCACUUUUCUAUAUAUAACAGCAGGCGUGGACCUCACUUCUCCACCAACCAAACCAUCACAGAGCUUAUUUUACAUUUCAUAAAGUUUGCAAGAAAAUAUAUAAGUUAAAAUAAUGUCUUGUACGGACAACACACCAACCACACUCAACUCAAUCAUGUAUGACACAUGACACAUGACACAUGAUACAAUAUAAUGUGAUCAGAACAUAUAUAUAUAACAUUAUAAUCGGCUCAUCAAUAAAUCAAAGAGAUUGCAUGUGGUAUGCAACUAGAAGAAUUAAAGGUACUUAAAGUCCAUUCAAUAUUUUCAAAAAGCCGUACAGCUAACAAAGAUACUCUAUACCUGUAUACAAAAAAUGUCACUUUCUCUUUAUAUUCAACAAAAUAGCAAUGGCACUCUUUCAUCGUGAUUCUGUCAAUCUUACUGUAUUAUUCAUUGUAAUUCUAUCAAACUUACCGUCAAUUCAAACAUACAUUUUAUCGUGAAUCUAAACAUUUCGUCAAUCCAAACAUGCACUUUAUCUUGGAAACUGAAUGAUUUUGUCAAUCUCACCGUCAAUGUUUCCAAAUAUAUGUACUUUGUCUAGAAAAGAGAGUUACCGUCAAUGUUUCUAAACAUAUGUACUUUGUCUAGGAAAGAGAGUCAAUCUUACCGUCAAUGUUUCCAAACAUAUGUACUUUGUUUAAGAAAGAGAGUGAAUUUGCACUUUGUUGUGAAUCUAAACAUGGACUAUCUUUGAAAAC